AGUGAACGCUGGCGGUAGGCCUAACACAUGCAAGUCGAACGGCAGCACAGUAAGAGCUUGCUCUUACGGGUGGCGAGUGGCGGACGGGUGAGGAAUACAUCGGAAUCUACUUUUUCGUGGGGGAUAACGUAGGGAAACUUACGCUAAUACCGCAUACGACCUACGGGUGAAAGCAGGGGAUCUUCGGACCUUGCGCGAUUGAAUGAGCCGAUGUCGGAUUAGCUAGUUGGCGGGGUAAAGGCCCACCAAGGCGACGAUCCGUAGCUGGUCUGAGAGGAUGAUCAGCCACACUGGAACUGAGACACGGUCCAGACUCCUACGGGAGGCAGCAGUGGGGAAUAUUGGACAAAGGGCGCAAGCCUGAUCCAGCCAUACCGCGUGGGUGAAGAAGGCCUUCGGGUUGGAAAGCCCUUUUGUUGGGAAAGAAAAGCAGCAGGUUAAUACCCCGCUGUUCUGACGGUACCCAAAGAAUAAGCACCGGCUAACUUCG
rnacentral:rRNA from 1 species